AUUGAACGCUGGCGGCAUGCUUUACACAUGCAAGUCGAACGGCAGCACGGGAGCUUGCUCCUGGUGGCGAGUGGCGAACGGGUGAGUAAUGCAUCGGAACGUACCCAGUAGUGGGGGAUAGCCCGGCGAAAGCCGGAUUAAUACCGCAUAUUUCCUGAGGGNGAAAGCGGGGGACCUUCGGGCCUCGCGCUACUGGAGCGGCUGAUGUCGGAUUAGCUAGUUGGUGAGGUAAAGGCUCACCAAGGCGACCGAUCCGUAGCUGGUCUGAGAGGAUGAUCAGCCACACUGGGACUGAGACACGGCCCAGACUCCUACGGGAGGCAGCAGUGGGGAAUUUUGGACAAUGGGGGCAACCCUGAUCCAGCCAUGCCGCGUGAGUG
rnacentral:rRNA from 1 species